UUUCAAAUUAUUUGAUGGACUAAUUUGCAUUUUUCAAAUAGUUUCACAUGCCAAUUAAUUUCAGUCUAUGGUUAAUCUGCCCUUCCACAAGCAGCAUUAUGGAAAGACACUGAUAAACGUCAAACUUUGCCUGUUCUGAGUACAUCAGAGAGGGAGGCCAGGGCUGCUGGGGAACUGCAAAAUGGAAAACCUUCCUAGAGGAAAAAUAGAAAACUAAGAAAUGAGCUUUCUAAAAUCACCAAUCAAAAUGAAAAACAGCUUCAGCGAAGGAGGAUGAGAGCAGGUCACCUCACCUAAAUGAUACUGGAUGCCAUAACAUCACCAUAACAGUGAUCCCAAAGGAUUUAAUCAGAUUACAGAAAAGAAAUAUGAAUUGGGGAACGACAUCAGAUGGAGGACCAGUAUGGAGGUAUCAGACAGCGCUGAGAAACAGGAUCUGCUGGGUUGCUGGCCAGAGUUGGGCACAUGUGAAAAGUUUUAAGGGUCAACAUUUGUAGACCUUUUGUAUUGCCAGUUGGGCACUAAUGAGAGAGCAUCAAUAGAUCAGGAACACCUGCAUCCACACUUCUUUCCCUGUCCACAGUUCACCAUGGUAGGCACUGCCCUCUGAAACAAGCUCACGCAUAGCAAGCAGGAGUAUGUAAAAGGAUGCCUCUUCCUGUGUCCUCUAAACUGUGUCAUGAAUGCUGUCCUGGAAAACCACUGUAUCUUCACAUAAAUAGUCCUUACAGAAGGAUGCUGUAAGCAGUAUCAAAUUAGCUGCCAUAGAAUUUGGCCACUUAAUGCUUCUGCUGUCAAUGUCACACCCCAUGCUGAGUCACUGUGAAGUGAUUGAGCUGAUAUAAGCAAAUGCAUUGACUAAGUCAUUCAUUUACAUCCUGCUGCCAUGAGUCUAAGAAACUGCUAAAUGUAUUAAAUAAUCAAUCCACUCAGCAGCUGAUGAUGCAGAAGUAGAAAUUAAGUCCUACUAGGUUUUUAUUAUUGCUGUCAGAGAGGCUCUUUGGAUGCUCUGAACGUGUGCAAAAGGAUAACAAUUCAACAAAUAUAGCUCACAUUUAGAAAAGUCUGAAUGACUUUUGAAAGAAAAGACAUAAUAAUACAAAGAAACUGGAGAGAUAAUAACAUAUGGUUAUUUGUUAGGGGAUGCAGCAUUCUGUGAGUCCACUGUACAGAUUUGAAAUGUGUGGACUACAGUAUGUGUCUGGCUGUUCAAUGCUUAAUGCAUUAAUGAUACAGAAUUUUCUGUAGGUUACAAAUUAUUCACUGACAGGGAUAUAUGGACAGCAUCACUCUGUAUUAUUUUUUACAGUCAUGUCAUUAUGCAAUAUACAUAAUUCUAAAAUGUCAAAAAAAAACCCCAUUAGUUAGGGAAAAGGCAAUGCAAGGACUCACCAGAGAGUGCUAAAGAACCAAAGGAAUCAAAAACAUUUCAUGCCCCAUGGAGCUUUGUUAUAUGGAUAUUUCAGUUCUGUGACUCUUGUAAACUUCACCAGAGGUAAGAACAUUGAGAUCAUAAAUGCUAGUUACAGCCACCAUCAUUUAACUUUUAUGUUAGUUUUACUUGUCUGGUGUAGGGCUUAGGUCUAUGUCACAUCCAGAAUUAUUCUCUAUGUUAAUUCUGAACUGGACCUUGUAAAAGCAAAGACAAAAAUGUUUUGGGAAUAACAAUGCAACGUGUCUGAUUAUCUGUCUACUCAUAUCCAGCAGACCAAAUUGUGAAGAUUCAUUAACGUGCCUCUGUUCCACUUACACACAGGCAUAGACAGAUAUAUAAAAUAGAGAAUAUAUGCUCAGUGUUCUCUGAACAGUGGGCCUUAUUGAUAUCACACACUGACAUCAAAACUUGACUUUACAGAGGUCACAGCAAAACUCCCAAUGAUGAAAAAGGGCACAAGUUUCACUUCUAGAGCUUUACUCUGCUUUCUCCUCUUUCAUGGUAAGAAUGAGUGUAAUGAGAAGCCCACUCUGAAACAAAAUUUUUAAAGGUUGGUCUGAUAUUUUGCUUUGGAGUAGUAUUUAUGAACUGAACAUUAUCAUAAACAGCCUGGUUAGAAGGAAAAUUUAUUGCUAUACAGAGAGCUGAUAAAUAAUACCAGAAAACAAAGCAAAAAAAAUUCUCAAGUGUUUAAUAUAAUUGCUUUUAUUUGUGAGAAAAUUAGUCCAUUCUCUUUAAAGUGUGUCAUUUGGAAGUAGCAGCAACACUCCUAUUUCUAAUGAAGUGUAGGCGGUGGAAUGGAAACAUCUGCAAAACAGCACUUCUACAGUAAAUGUAAAGGGAUUGCCAAAGACAUGAAUAUUUGAUCCUAUGAUUUAAACAAGAGAAAUAUCAAAACAAGAGUACUACUGAGACUUGCAUAAAGGCUAAAAAUAACUUGAUACAGGAAAUAUAAAAACAUCUAGUUCAGAAGGAACUGAAAAAUAAAUCAUACCACUUUAGGAAGGCCUAUAAAAAAGAGAAGCAAACAAUUAGAAAUGUAAGAGGGCAUAAAAGAAAGCAAACGAGGUGAAAACAUAGGUCAUAAUUUUAAAAAUAGAAGGAAAUCAGAACAAAUGAUUAAUCAAAUUAAACUGAUUAGCAAGCACAGUAAUAAAAGCAUACCAAGAGAAGGAGAAGGACUGUUUAGGGCACUACAGCACGAACAGCUCAGCAGGGAUGGUCUAGAGAGGUGGUCUUUACUGUAGCUAUAUUCCUGUACUAGAUUUGUUUACCAAAAUAGUUUCACAAAAUGCUUUCAUAGAGGACAAGGAAAAAAUAAUUCUUCACAUGGUAUUAGCUCCUCCUGGGUUUGGAUGCUAUAUAUUGAUGAAAGACAUGCAAAACAUGUAUCAGUAUUUGUUAUUUUUCCAGACAGACAGCUACUACAUGGGAUUCCCAUUGCCAUAAGGUAUCCCAUGGCAUUCAUCCCAAAGGGUAGAAUGAGCUGGCCUCACAAAUGUGAAAAUUUAAAAAGCAGCGCAUGUAUUGCAAAUGAGACAAGAUAAAGGUCAACAGAGUAAUUUCCUUAACAAAGUUACUCUGGAAGAAAGUUCAAGACUUUUUUUCAGCAUUGCACUAGUCAAUGAGAAUUAGAACUUUCAUGAAAUCUCCUUUUCCCCUUGGUUAAAAAAACCAACAUAAAUACAGUGAAAUUUGUCGGAUAAGAAUUAAGAUUUCCAAGCAACAACCAUUCAUCCCCAUUACAUUAAAUCCCCAGCUGCCAAAAGGUGCUUUUUUGUACCAUAGAUAGCUCCCAUUGCUCUCAAAUUGCUUUACUGCACUGCUUUAGUUUGUUGAUUCACUACAGAUUUAAAGGUAAUGAGUCUGGCACUGUCCAAAGCACCUCAUGAUCCUUCCUCAUACUCAGCUAAACACAAUUAGGCUGGAGAAAUCCAGUGCCAUUGAGUUCUCAUGGUGAUUAGUGGCAGCCUGAAAGAGUCAAGAGUGAAAAGAGAGCCUCAAAGGGGGUCUUUGCUAAGCCAAAUAGGUGGUUGCAAAGAAUUAGCUCCUUAUUGCAAGUCAAAAUUCAACCAUACUAAAAGCCUGCUUACAGCACAGUUGCUAAGAAAGCUUCCCACAAGAAUGCUACAAAGAAUUGACCAAAAUUCACCUGUCAUAGGAAAUAGAUGAUAAGGAAUAGAGAAAGGGAGGAAAAACAAAUGCUAAGGAGAACAUAAUAGAUUGUGAAUGCAAAGAAAAAUUUUAGAAUUAUAGUUUAACAUAUAGUUAUGUGACUAUAUAAAUAAACUAUAAAUAGUUUCUAAAUGUAGUUUACCAUAUAUUUAAAAUUUAAGUUUGCUUGCGUUGGCUUUACUAUUGCCAAUGGUACUGCUGCUCUUCUAUUGCCUGUUAUUGCCUGGGACCCUGAUUUGUUGCCUCUGUUGAUUUUGGCUGUCGGUUCCCAGAAUUUGAUUGAUUAUUGUGAGCAGUGAGAGAAUUCUCUGGUGAAAAACAGCCACAUGCUAGAAUUUACCAAAACAAAUAAUUGGUAGGAUUGUGAAUUUAUACUUUCUGUGUACAGUGUAGGAAUCUAAAAUGAAUAUGAAACCUAGCUUUAUAGGCUGUUUCUUUAAACUGGGUCAAGGAAAGAUUAUGGUUACAUCAUUCAGUUUGCUGCACAGUUGAGCAGCUGAGGAACUUUCCCAUUUAUUUGAUAAUUAUUAUGGACUAUGGAAAUCUCAACAUCACGCCAUGCUUACUGUCAGAGCCUCCAGGACUUCAGAACGGAGAUUAUACUGCAGUGAUGUCACUUGUAGGCUGAAUAUAAACACUGUAAGUGUAGAUAUAAGGGGGAUAGUUACAUAAAAUUAAUAGCAAAAAAAUGUCUUUGUACUCCCUGAAGCAAGCAACAAAAGCGUCUUUGUGUGUGCAGUUCUACACAGAUUGCUGUUGCCAGCCAAUUGGGCUAUGACCUAGAACUUAGCCAACUAUAAAACCAAAAAUAAACUACAAAGAGAGCAACUCUUCACACUGAUGGUAAGUUCUCAGAGGCUAGAUCAUAAAAAGAAUAAAGUUUUCAGUAUAACAUAAUAGAAUUAUCUCACUAUCUCAUCAUUUCUGAUUUUGUUAAUACAGACAAAAUGAAGGACUGUAAAAAAAAAUCAAUCUGCUUUUAUCUAAAGUCUUUAUACCACGAACAAUCCAAGAACAGCAGGGUUUGUGAAUUCUGGAGCAAGACUGAUAUAGAAGAUCUGUUUUAAUGGUAAAAUCACAGCUGCAUUGCCUUCAUGAGCACAACAGGUUUACAAGGUGGAUCUGAGUACAUAGUUAGUUUUUAUAUGCCAGUGUGAUGGGAUAUGAGAGGCUGUUGUAGGUCUGUCCUUUCCAAUUACUGAGUUUAUCUGCUUAUGUUUGAGCUCAGACUUUUGUCAUAAGCACCAUAAAAGGUGGAAACUGCAUAAUUUCUCUGCUGUUACACCUGAUGAUCAAGUACUGCCUAGCACAUUCCCUGCAUUUAUGUCAGCUUUUCUUCAUUUUGCUGCUAAUCUCUAGUUGAGAGCUUACACAGCCCGGGAGCAGUGUCAUACUGCUCAUUCUUUCAAACUCAUCUUUUGUUGUUCCUUACAGCUGUGCAAAAUGGAUCUCAUGGAACUGUUCGGUGCAAGAUGAUAUUUAAAGCUCCUUUUCUGCACAAGAGGAGAUGACCCCACUGACAGCGAACUUCCAACAGAAGGUUCCUAAUCCUGAAGUGCUAGCCCAGUGAGAUAUUAAAGGAAAUAUGGGGGCAAUGGGUAUCAGAUGCACAACAUUCUGAGGAAUGUUAAACCCCUAGUAGAGCAAGGUUAAAUCCAGAAAAGCCAGUUACAACUCUGUGUCUUGCAGACAGAGUCACUCUUUGGGGCUACCUGGGGCUACCUGUGACUGCCUGCUCAUAAAUUUGGAAAUCACAGCCAAGAGAUGCUAAGCACUUCCCUAAUAUUCACUCUCAGUGAGAGCUAGCAUCAGGGUUUUUGGAGCCUAUCCCUGGGUUAAAGUAAGAAGCCUUCCCUUUUUCUCUCCAACUCUACUGUGACUUGCAUGACUACAUAACAGUCCCAGGGAUGCCCAUCAAGCCCUGAUUGCUCACCCCUAAAACCAGCUCUGCAACCAGCCACUAUUGCUUGUCUGGCUGUCUCUCUUAAGAACCCAGGGCAGAGAAAGGUGCUCUUGUUCAUUGUGAUAGAGCUUAAAGAGAAAAAUUCCAACAGCUUUUGUAUUACCAAAAUGUUUUGCCCUUUGUAGAAAGCCCUGAGCAGCAUACCAACAAAAACAUGACCUUCCUGCACAAAUAAUGACAUAUGGAAAGGCAGCUCCUUCUGCAGGGCAGUGGGAACUUUAGGUUAUGAGUGAUGAAAAUCUUCAAGGGCACUUUGCUUGAAAUGGUGCUGUGUACUUUCUCUGCCCUAGUGCAGACACACCACUUAUCACUCUAAUUGAAUCAGUGAAUUAUUCUUAUAGACAAAAGCAGGCAUUGGCAUUCCUGGAAGGCUGUGGAAGAUGCAGGGAUAAAGACAAGUAGGUCCUCACUGUCUGGAGCACUAUGUCAGUGUCAUUUCAUGUACGUGUAGUGCUAACACCCAUGCUAUGGUAGCACUCUGAGACAAAGUGACAUUCUUAUGUAUCUAGAUGUGUUACCUCCCACAUGAAGGGACCUUUUUCUUCUUUGUGGGACAUAACUUCAGCAUGUACAAUAAUGCUUUUCUCAUUGGGCUCAGAGACCCAUAGCAAUUCCCAAAACCUGAACAUCUGAUCACCAUUGUUCUGGUUUUCCUUUAUAAUUUUUAUGGUUUUUACAGUUUUGUAUAAAUGGCCUUCAUAUUUCAAUGUCUCAGUUCAUUACAAUGACCAAGGGACAAUUCCCUUUUAGUUUGGGAUACCUGAAGCUCACCAUGCAGAAUGGCUCAAACUUCAGCAGGAAAAGAGACUGGUGCCCACCCUCUGCUGGCACAUCCAGCUAGGACAGCACUUGGUCAUUCAGCCCCUUCUCGGCUGACAAAAACUUGACUCCUACUCCCUCCUCUAGAAGUAUUAAGGUAUUUUCAAUGAUGACUAGGUGCAGAACACCAGAAUUUCAUCUUCUUUUAGGUCCCUAAGUGCCAGGAUGGGAAAAAGUUCAACCAUACUUUGCCAGGUAUCAUUUCUCACGGGUAAGCAGCUCAGUUUGUCACCAGCUGUCUCUGCCAAGAGGCACCCAGGGCUCUGCAGCUGCGUACAACAUUCCUGUGUGGAAAGCUGAGUGCCUGACCUGUCUGCUCAAGACCAUCAUGCAGGGACAGCUGCCACACUGUUAGGUAGUGCAACAUUUCAUGGCAGUGCCUAAACAGGAGACUGGCCACAGCCUCUCUGCUCCUCCCAGCUAAAAGGACAAUUUAUUGGUAAUUCAGUGUCUCACUUUUCUUAGAUUGCAUGUAUUUUGGGGUCCUGAGUUCUGAAAAUUUGAGGCCAACAGCACUCUGAAUAUUUAAUGACUUAAAUACGAGCUAUGUGUAUAAAACACAGUGGUUUUUUUCAGAUCCUAAUCAAACUGGGGUGGGGACUUUUCUUUGUAGGUGGCCUGCAGUCGCCUAAAAUCCACAAGACAUGUUGCUCAGUGAAUUCUGUUGGUAGAAUACUGGCAGCAAAUGAAACUCCAAGACAUGGGUGAGGCCAACUCAUACUAAAAAUGUGAGAAAUAUUAGAGGACUUUUACUCAUCCAUUUUUCACUGGGGAUGUGAGUGUUUGGCACAAAAUAUUGUAAGUUGAUAUCAUAUUUGGCCCUGUGAUUGAUGCUCAUAUCUCUGCUACUGAAGUCCAAAUUAUGGAAUUACUUUUGUCAUCUUGGGGCACCCUCUAAAGAUAACCUGAAAUGGAAAAACUCAGGAACUAGCUCUUCUCCAGAAGCAAAACAACUAUAAGUAGUUGUGCAGAAACAGACUCACUUUAAUCCCAGAAAUAAAAAGGGAAUAGAGUUGGUAGGAGAAAAAGAGACAUGUUGUGAAACAAAUAUUCUCCGUAUUGCCUCCAGUCCAGCUGGGAGGAAUUCCCUGGGCAUUUUACCAACAGAAUACUUAUAGUGAAAAUAAAUAAAGCAAUCUAUGUAUGUUUGAGAUACAGAUACAAUUAAUUUAAAAAACCCAAACAACAAACCACCAAACAACCCAAUGCCGAGAAAUCCACAUCCCAAUCCAAUCAGUAAGAGUCAAAAAAUCAGCUUCAGAAAAUAACCCUUCUUGGAUCAUUGUGUAUGUGUGUGUGUGUGUGUGUGUGUACUUCUUCUGGGUCAAAUGUAGUAGACAAGGAAAGCAGAUUAUUGAGGCUGAGAAAGAAAACUCUAAUAAAACACCACAACCAUCAGUUCUGUGCUGCUUAUGACAUCUCUGGGGUUUUCUUGGUUUUUUGAUUUUAUUUUAUAUUAUCUGGAAACAUAUAUUUAGAAAAAAGUGUCAGUGAAAAUCUGUUUAACUUCAUAACCAUAGAUCCUUUAGAGUUUUCUUUUUUUAUUUUUUACACAGAAUAAAACCUGAUGUGGAAUGGAGGAGUGAAAGGAUGUCUGUUUGUAAGAAAAAUAAAGUAAAUGAGUAAAAUUACAAACAAGUGGAAAAAAAGUUUUAUUUCCACAUGAAUGAAAAGUCUCACUGAGCUAAGAUGAAAAAUAUUCAAUUUUAGUUUAUAAAAACUUCUCCAUGCAAAGAAUGAUAAGUUGCAAGUGCUACUUCUUGUAUAAGGCUUGGUGAUUUUAAACCAUUAUUUUUUGGCAGUCACCCUAAUCUGAUUUUCCAAUGCAUUGUUUCCCUCUCAGCCCAUUAUCAUUUAUUAC